CGAUAAUUUAAAGCUUAAAGCUUAGGGGCUCAUAAUCUCUAGAUUUUUAUUGUCGU
rnacentral:tRNA from 1 species